UCAGAGAAAGCUCCCAAAAAAAUCAGAAAUAGCAUCACAAUGAUGAAAAAGGCAACAUGCAGUAAUACAGUCAAGAUAGUUGGCUUUUUCAAUGAAAUAACAGCAUGUCAGUGAACUAAACAUGUCUGGCCCUUGAUGUGAUUCUCUUUUUCCAGUGUGGCCCUUCUUGAAAUUGAGUUUGAC